ensembl:snRNA U6 U6 spliceosomal RNA
GUGCUUGCUCCAGCAGCACAUGUACUAAAACUGGAACAAUACAGAGAAGAUUAACAUGUUCUCUGCACAAGGAUGGCAUGCAAAUUUGUGAAGCAAUAAAAAAAAAA